rnacentral:lncRNA from 1 species
UCUCACAGAACUGAUGUCUCUAGAGGAGUGUACCCCCUAGUGAGAACCUUCUAUUUCUAGAACAUUCUUUCUCCUGAUGAGGGAACAGCCUCACUGGAACUUCCCCAUCCUCCUGGCUUGGUUCCUGAAGUGGCCCAAGGCUGCCUUCUCUCUCCGUUAUGUAGGUGAUGAAGCUGCGCAGACGACUGACCUACCUACGUGCAACCAACAACAAAGACAAGUACAGUCCGCGUGGACCAGAGCCAGCAUGUAAAUGCACACCCCUUGAUCUAGUUAUUUCACUUCUCGGAGUUUAUUCAAAGGAGAAAAUCCCACAGGUACGUGAAAUUCUGUUCAACUAGAGGGUUCAUUAAGUUUGGCUUAUAAAGGGAAAUCUAAGACUGAAAAGCAAUAUAUUAAUAUGUAUCAGAGACCUACACAUUUACAUUUGCUUUGAUUCAGAUAGAAUCAGGUUUACCAACACACAUGUACUUCUAUCCCAAUGACGGCUCGCUGAUGGCAAUAACUGGAAAUACCUUAGCGCUCACAAUUAGGUUGGUUCAGUAGAAAGGCAGUGCCUCCAUGAAUGAUACCCCACACCACUGUCUAAAUGAUAGAGAUGAAUAUUUAAUGGCAAGGGAACAAUCUUCAUGCUGUAAUUUUUUUUUGUUUGUUUGU